CCUACGGGAGGCAGCAGUGGGGAAUAUUGGGCAAUGGGCGCAAGCCUGACCCAGCAACGCCGCGUGAAGGAAGAAGGCUUUCGGGUUGUAAACUUCUUUUCUCAGGGACGAAGCAAGUGAAGGUACCUGAGGAAUAAGACACGGCUAACUACGUUCCAGCAGCCGCGGUAAUACGUAGGUGGCAAGCGUUAUCCGGCGUUACUGGGUGUAAAGGGCGUGUAGGCGGGAUAGCAAGUCAGAUGUGAAGACCAUGGGCUCAACCUGUGGCCUGCAUAUGAUACUGUUUUUCUUGAGUACUGGAGAGGCAGACGGAAUUCCUGGUGUAGCAGUGAAAUGCGUAGAUAUUAGGAGGAACACCAGUGGCGAAGGCGGUCUGCUGGACAUCAACUGACGCUGAGGCGCGAAGGCGUGGGGAGCAAACGGGAUUAGAUACCCUAGUAGUC
rnacentral:rRNA from 1 species